UACGUAGGUGGCAAGCGUUGUCCGGAAUUACUGGGCGUAAAGCGUGCGCAGGCGGCGCGUUAAGACAGGUGUGAAAGCCCCGAGCUUAACUUGGGAAUUGCGCUUGUGACUGGCGUGCUGGAGUGUGGCAGAGGGAGGUGGAAUUCCACGUGUAGCAGUGAAAAUGCGUAGAGAUGUGGAGGAACACCGAUGGCGAAGGCAGCCUCCUGGGCCAGCACUGACGCUCAUGCACGAAAGCGUGGGGAGCAAACAGG
rnacentral:rRNA from 1 species